rnacentral:rRNA from 1 species
AUUGAACGCUGGCGGCAUGCCUUACACAUGCAAGUCGAACGGCAGCGGGGGAGAAGCUUGCUUUUCCUGCCGGCGAGUGGCGAACGGGUGAGUAAUACAUCGGAACGUGCCCUGUAGUGGGGGAUAACUAGUCGAAAGAUUAGCUAAUACCGCAUACGACCUGAGGGUGAAAGUGGGGGACCGCAAGGCCUCAUGCUAUAGGAGCGGCCGAUGUCUGAUUAGCUAGUUGGUGGGGUAAAGGCCUACCAAGGCGACGAUCAGUAGCUGGUCUGAGAAGACGAUCAGCCACACUGGGACUGAGACACGGCCCAGACUCCUACGGGGGGCAGCAGUGGGGAAUUUUGGACAAUGGGCGAAAGCCUGAUCCAGCAAUGCCGCGUGUGUGAAGAAGGCCUUCGGGUUGUAAAGCACUUUUGUCCGGAAAGAAAUGGCUCUGGUUAAUACCUGGGGUCGAUGACGGUACCGGAAGAAUAAGGACCGGCUAACUACGUGCCAGCCGCCGCGGUAA